ACAUUACUUUCCAUAUUUGCUCCAUGAUCUAUGAAAUUCUUAUGCUCAUUAUCUCUCUUCAUCGGAUAUAUUUCCUCCACACUGUGCACUUUCCUUACAGUGUUCUUGUAAAUUAUUGCAGGUAACUUUGUUUUCACCUGCUUUCAAACACUGAAAAAGUGGUGUUAGGCACUCAAUAAAAGUAUGUGAAAACAGAUGGACAGGCUGAAAUUACUGAACAGAGAAACUGCAAAACUUGAAGGCACACCAUGAAGACAGCCUCAGGAAACCAGAGCAGUGGAGGCAGGGCAAUGCUAGAACACCAGGAACCUCAGGCUCUUCCAAUGAAAGAUCAGUUUUUACCUAAGUGAUCAUAUGUAGGAAAAAAGAAUCCAUUGCAACAGGAAUCUGAGAGGAUGGUGACAGUGUAUGUGUCUGCUGGAUUGCUUCGUACAUCCUAAGCUCAAUUCUUCUCCAGGGUUUCUGGCCCCUGCCUGCGUUAUCUCACACCUCCUGGGCUGGGAAGCACUGCUGCUCACCACCUUCUCCUCCAGACAUGGGCUGUAUUCUUGAGCGAGCUGGAAGCGAGGUGAAGGCAGAACAAGGGCACAUUGGAAAAGGGCUAAAAUAAGUAGGUAAGAAGACAGGUGUUGACAAAUAUAAAGUCAUACAGUAUGUUGGUGCAUAGGCCUUAUCCUCAAAUCACCACCACACCUGGAUGAAAAAGCUGCAGCACAGCAGAGACACUAAAGCUUCAUUUCCAGGGCCACUUCCAUCUGUGCAAGUAAGGAGACAAGCUGCAGCUUACAAGGAAAGAAACAUUAGAGCAGGAACUCUACAAUUUGCAGUCUGUGACUAUGAAGUACUCCUCAUGCAAGCAUUUCACUGACAGAACUGGGAGACUAUAUCUGUUAUUAAAGAAAUACAUAAAUUCGUGCAACUCAAAACACGAAUUUUGAACACCAAAGAACUGUGGCAUUUUUGCUCUGCCAGAAAAAUGAUCGUGUCUUGACUGAAUACUUUGCUUUCUAACUUCCUUUUUCAAGCUGAAACGUCAACUAUUCCAAGUCAAAUCAGAAUAUUACUCAACCACAAAUCAGGAAAAAAAAAAACCCUUGAUGCCAUUUACAUAUUUGCAGUUGUGCUGUUAAGUAAAUAGAGAUUAAACCCUUCCAAAUGCUUUGCUGCUUAAUGACACAAUCACUGGCAUGUUAUUAAAGCUCAACACUCUGACAUUCCAGUCAUUACGUCUGCAAACAGUAAGACAUUAUGCAGUGAGAAAGCCAUCCUUGUAUCGAAACCAGUGAUGUCUAAUUGUGACAGGUGAAUGUUUUAUCUAUGAAGUUCAUACACACGCUAUUUUUUUGCAGUCUGUGUUCCAUUUACACAAUUUGCUAGUUUAAAAGGUUUUAACAGCCAAGAGUCCAAGUGUAAAACUUCAAAACAGAAAACUAUACUGUGUUAAUGAAGUCAGCUGGAUACAUGCCUUCUGGUUAUGAUGAUAUCAUUAUGGGCCCCAUGAUGAACAGUAAGGCAGAAAACAUUUACCUGGUUUUAAAUUCAAAAUAUUUGCCGAGAUUUAUGUCUAAAUGGAUGAAUGAGCAGAAAGGUGAUUGUGUGUUAUUUCCAUAUAACAAAAUCAAAAUUAUUCAAAUCACUAAGAACAGAAGUGUUUCUAUAUUCUGCAUGGGGUUCUGCUUUACUGAAUUUAUGUCUAUGAUUCUGACAGGCUACAAAAAAACAAUAAAAUAGACAUCAAC
ensembl:lncRNA